UUCGAGAGAGAGAAUACAGAGUAUUUUAGAGAGAGAUACAGACUGUAGAGAGAGAAAAAAAAGAGAGAAUUGAGAAUUAAAAAAAUAAUUUAUUUGAGAUUCAUUGAUACAAACAUAUUACAUGCUAAUUUUGAUUUACAACCUCUUAUUUAUAGAUACGAACAGUACAUAAAUCAUUGUUUCCAACAGUUAAUCCUUGUUACGCACCAGAAGCUACCAUUCGAAUAAGCAUUUUCAUCCCGUCGAUCGCAUCGCAUGAAGGAAAAGAUGAAUACUCAACUCUGUUGAAGAAACAGUUCCAAAGCUUGCACCCCUGCUUCCAACCAUAUAUAUC
rnacentral:lncRNA from 1 species